rnacentral:rRNA from 1 species
GCUCAGGAUGAACGCUAGCUACAGGCUUAACACAUGCAAGUCGAGGGGUAGCAGGGUAGCAAUACCGCUGACGACCGGCGCACGGGUGAGUAACACGUAUCCAACCUUCCCAUUACUCGGGGAUAGCCUUUCGAAAGAAAGAUUAAUACCCGAUAGUACUUAAUUAUGGCAUCAUGAUUAAGUUAAAGAUUUAUUGGUAAUGGAUGGGGAUGCGUUCCAUUAGAUUGUUGGUGAGGUAACGGCUCACCAAGUCUUCGGUGGAUAGGGGUUCUGAGAGGAAGGUCCCCCACAUUGGUACUGAGACACGGACCAAACUCCUACGGGAGGCAGCAGUGAGGAAUAUUGGUCAAUGGGCGAGAGCCUGAACCA